rnacentral:tRNA from 1 species
AAGAUUAACUUUUUAGACUUCUAAUCUAUUAAUAAUGAUUUUUCAUUUAAUCUUU